GUUAUCGACAAGUGAAUUCAUAGCUUGUCAGAAGGCAGACCCGGAGAACUGAAACAUCUUAGUACCCGGAGGAAGAGAAAGAAAAAUCGAUUCCCUGAGUAGCGGCGAGCGAAACGGGAAGAGCCCAAACCAAUAAGCUUGCUUAUUGGGGUUGUAGGACACUCUAUACGGAGUUACAAAGGAAUAUAUUAGACGAAUCAUCUGGAAAGUUGAAUCAAAGAAGGUAAUAAUCCUGUAGUUGAAAAUAUAUUCUCUCUUGAGUGGAUCCUGAGUACGACGGAGCACGUGAAAUUCCGUCGGAAUCUGGGAGGACCAUCUCCUAAGGCUAAAUACUCUCUAGUGACCGAUAGUGAACCAGUACCGUGAGGGAAAGGUGAAAAGUACCCCGGAAGGGGAGUGAAAGAGAACUUGAAACCGUGUGCUUACAAGUAGUCAGAGCCCGUUAAUGGGUGAUGGCGUGCCUUUUGUAGAAUGAACCGGCGAGUUACGAUCUGAUGCAAGGUUAAGCAGGAGAUGUGGAGCCGUAGCGAAAGCGAGUCUGAAUAGGGCGUUGAGUAUUUGGUCGUAGACCCGAAACCAGGUGAUCUACCCAUGGUCAGGUUGAAGUUCAGGUAACACUGAAUGGAGGACCGAACCGACUUACGUUGAAAAGUGAGCGGAUGAACUGUGGGUAGCGGAGAAAUUCCAAUCGAACUUGGAGAUAGCUGGUUCUCUCCGAAAUAGCUUUAGGGCUAGCCUCAAGUGAUGAUUAUUGGAGGUAGAGCACUGUUUGGACGAGGGGCCCCUCUCGGGUUACCGAAUUCAGACAAACUCCGAAUGCCAAUUAAUUUAACUUGGGAGUCAGAACAUGGGUGAUAAGGUCCGUGUUCGAAAGGGAAACAGCCCAGACCACCAGCUAAGGUCCCAAAAUAUAUGUUAAGUGGAAAAGGAUGUGGCGUUGCCCAGACAACUAGGAUGUUGGCUUAGAAGCAGCCAUCAUUUAAAGAGUGCGUAAUAGCUCACUAGUCGAGUGACACUGCGCCGAAAAUGUACCGGGGCUAAACAUAUUACCGAAGCUGUGGAUUGUCCGUAGGACAAUGGUAGGAGAGCGUUCUAAGGGCGUUGAAGCAUGAUCGCAAGGACAUGUGGAGCGCUUAGAAGUGAGAAUGCCGGUGUGAGUAGCGAAAGACGGGUGAGAAUCCCGUCCACCGAUUGACUAAGGUUUCCAGAGGAAGGCUCGUCCGCUCUGGGUUAGUCGGGUCCUAAGCUGAGGCCGACAGGCGUAGGCGAUGGAUAACAGGUUGAUAUUCCUGUACCACCUAGCAUCGUUUUAAUCGAUGGGGGGACGCAGUAGGAUAGGCGAAGCGUACGAUUGGAUUGUACGUCCAAGCAGUGAGAUUGAGUGUUAGGCAAAUCCGGCACUCUUAAGAUUGAGCUGUGAUGGGGAGAGGAAAUUGUUUCCUCGAGUCGUUGAUUUCACACUGCCGAGAAAAGCCUCUAGAUAGAUAAUAGGUGCCCGUACCGCAAACCGACACAGGUAGUCAAGAUGAGAAUUCUAAGGUGAGCGAGCGAACUCUCGUUAAGGAACUCGGCAAAAUGACCCCGUAACUUCGGGAGAAGGGGUGCUCUUUAGGGUGCAAGCCCAGAAGAGCCGCAGUGAAUAGGCCCAAGCGACUGUUUAUCAAAAACACAGGUCUCUGCUAAACCGUAAGGUGAUGUAUAGGGGCUGACGCCUGCCCGGUGCUGGAAGGUUAAGAGGAGUGGUUAGCUUCUGCGAAGCUACGAAUCGAAGCCCCAGUAAACGGCGGCCGUAACUAUAACGGUCCUAAGGUAGCGAAAUUCCUUGUCGGGUAAGUUCCGACCCGCACGAAAGGCGUAACGAUUUGGGCACUGUCUCAACGAGAGACUCGGUGAAAUCAUAGUACCUGUGAAGAUGCAGGUUACCCGCGACAGGACGGAAAGACCCCGUGGAGCUUUACUGUAGCCUGAUAUUGAAAUUCGGCACAGCUUGUACAGGAUAGGUAGGAGCCUUUGAAACGUGAGCGCUAGCUUACGUGGAGGCGCUGGUGGGAUACUACCCUAGCUGUGUUGGCUUUCUAACCCGCACCACUUAUCGUGGUGGGAGACAGUGUCAGGCGGGCAGUUUGACUGGGGCGGUCGCCUCCUAAAAGGUAACGGAGGCGCUCAAAGGUUCCCUCAGAAUGGUUGGAAAUCAUUCAUAGAGUGUAAAGGCAUAAGGGAGCUUGACUGCGAGACCUACAAGUCGAGCAGGGUCGAAAGACGGACUUAGUGAUCCGGUGGUUCCGCAUGGAAGGGCCAUCGCUCAACGGAUAAAAGCUACCCCGGGGAUAACAGGCUUAUCUCCCCCAAGAGUUCACAUCGACGGGGAGGUUUGGCACCUCGAUGUCGGCUCAUCGCAUCCUGGGGCUGUAGUCGGUCCCAAGGGUUGGGCUGUUCGCCCAUUAAAGCGGUACGCGAGCUGGGUUCAGAACGUCGUGAGACAGUUCGGUCCCUAUCCGUCGUGGGCGUAGGAAAUUUGAGAGGAGCUGUCCUUAGUACGAGAGGACCGGGAUGGACAUACCUCUGGUGUACCAGUUGUCGUGCCAACGGCAUAGCUGGGUAGCUAUGUAUGGACGGGAUAAGUGCUGAAAGCAUCUAAGCAUGAAGCCCCCCUCAAGAUGAGAUUUCCCAACUUCGGUUAUAAGAUCCCUCAAAGAUGAUGAGGUUAAUAGGUUCGAGGUGGAAGCGUGGUGACACGUGGAGCUGACGAAUACUAAUCGAUCGAAGACUUAAUC
rnacentral:rRNA from 1 species